rnacentral:misc_RNA from 1 species
AACGCACCUUGCGCUCCUUGGCAUUCCGAGGAGCAUGCCUGUUUGAGUGUCGUUGAAUUCUCAUAACCCUACCCGACUGUCGGGCAGGGGUUGUGGAUUGGUGGAGGUCUUGCAGGUCGGUCGAGGUGUGACCACUCUGCUCCUCUGAAAUGCAUUUGGCAGAAUCGCCCAUGGUCACGCACGCACCUGUCAUCGGUAUGAUACGUCUUACCUGCUUGUCAAAUGCGCGCUGUGCAAUCUCUCUCAUGAUUUGACCUCAAAUCAGGCAGGACUACCCGCUGAACUUAA